CGGCGCGGACGCGCAAGGGGAGGAGGAAGAAGAGCGCGUCGCUGGCUGCCGCUUAGCUUCCUUUCCUGCCACAGCAGAAAAAAAGGGGGGUGGACAAGGCGCGCGAGAGAGGGGAGCGACAGGCUGCGCCGUUCGCAGAAGCGCCGGGUCUCCACCACCACCGGGCUGCAAAGACUGAGCGAGCGACCAG